GUACACGCUGUGACUAGCAUAUCAAUAAGCGGAGGAAAAGAAACUAACAAGGAUUCCCUUAGUAACGGCGAGUGAAGCGGGAAGAGCUCAAAUUUGAAAUCUUCAAGGUUUUACCUUGACGAAUUGUAGUUUAAAGAAGUGUUUUCUGUUGAAGUUUUGGUAAAAGUUCUUUGGAAUAGGACAUCAUAGAGGGUGAGAAUCCCGUAUUUGACCAUUAUUUUCAGCUUUGUGAUACACUUUCAAAGAGUCGGAUUGUUUGGGAAUGCAGUCCAAAAUGGGUGGUAAAUUUCAUCUAAAGCUAAAUAUUGGCGAGAGACCGAUAGCGAACAAGUACCGUGAGGGAAAGAUGAAAAGAACUUUGAAAAGAGAGUUAAACAGUACGUGAAAUUGUCAAAAGGGAAGCGUUUGACACCAGUGUUGUUUUUCUGAAAAUCAAUUAAAGAACUGUUUAUGCUAAGUUGUUUAGACUUUAUCAGCUAACUGUUUAGUUUUGAGCUUUUCUUUAAUGCACUUUUCAGUUAACAAGUCAACAUCAAUUUCUUUUGCUGUAAAAAAGCUUGAGGAAGGUGGCUUGAGAUUCGUCUUAAGUGUUUAUAGCCUCUUGCCUAUGCAGUCGGAGAGAUUGAGGUCUGCAGCGUAGAUCCUUCGGGGCUAAAUGCAUUUGUGCUAAGUUAUAGCAUUUCAUAGACAACUUGUUGACUAUGAUUUGUCUUGUAGCUUACUCGCUUAUGUUAUUUUACCUACGCUUAGGAUGUUGACACACGCGCGUGCUCG
rnacentral:rRNA from 1 species